GGAAUAGCCUGUCCAAGCGGUUAGGCUGCCAGAUAGGCAARUCCGUCUGGCRUCCAGGCUGAGCCGUGAUGGCGAGGGAAUCAAAGUACCGAAGUCCCUGAUCCUCCACUGCCAAGAAAAGCCUCUAGCGAGGUGAGAGGUGCCCGUACCGCAAACCGACACAGGUAGGCGAGGAGAGAAUCCUAAGGUGCGCGGGAGAACUCUCGUUAAGGAACUCGGCAAAAUGACCCCGUAACUUCGGGAGAAGGGGUGCUCUCUUGGGUGUUGAGCCCGAGAGAGCCGCAGUGAAAAGGCCCAAGCGACUGUUUAACAAAAACACAGGUCUCUGCGAAGCCGAAAGGCGAAGUAUAGGGGCUGACACCUGCCCGGUGCUGGAAGGUUAAGGGGAGCGCUUAGCUCAAAGCGAAGGUGCGAACCGAAGCCCCAGUAAACGGCGGCCGUAACUAUAACGGUCCUAAGGUAGCGAAAUUCCUUGUCGGGUAAGUUCCGACCCGCACGAAAGGUGUAACGACUUGGGCACUGUCUCAACGAGAGACCCGGUGAAAUUAUAGUACCUGUGAAGAUGCAGGUUACCCGCGACAGGACGGAAAGACCCCGUGGAGCUUUACUGCAGCCUGAUAUUGAAUUUUGGUACGUCAUGUACAGGAUAGGUGGGAGACAGAGAAGCCAGGACGCCAGUCUUGGCGGAGUCGCCCUUGGGAUACCACCCUUGUCGUACUGAAGUUCUAACCCGCACCCCUGAUCGGGGUGGGAGACCGUGUCAGGUGGGCAGUUUGACUGGGGCGGUCGCCUCCCAAAGAGUAACGGAGGCGCCCAAAGGUUCCCUCAGAAUGGUUGGAAAUCAUUCGAAGAGUGUAAAGGCAGAAGGGAGCUUGACUGCGAGACCUACAAGUCGAGCAGGGACGAAAGUCGGGCUUAGUGAUCCGGUGGUUCCGCAUGGAAGGGCCAUCGCUCAACGGAUAAAAGCUACCCCGGGGAUAACAGGCUUAUCUCCCCCAAGAGUCCACAUCGACGGGGAGGUUUGGCACCUCGAUGUCGGCUCAUCGCAUCCUGGGGCUGUAGUCGGUCCCAAGGGUUGGGCUGUUCGCCCAUUAAAGCGGUACGCGAGCUGGGUUCAGAACGUCGUGAGACAGUUCGGUCCCUAUCCGUCGCGGGCGCAGGAAAUUUGAGAGGAGCUGUCCUUAGUACGAGAGGACCGGGAUGGACGCACCGCUGGUGUACCAGUUGUCCUGCCAAGGGCACCGCUGGGUAGCUAUGUGCGGAAGGGAUAAGCGCUGAAAGCAUCUAAGCGUGAAGCCCCCCUCAAGAUGAGAUUUCCCAUUGCAUAAGCAAGUAAGAUCCCUCGAAGAUGACGAGGUAGAUAGGUCCGAGGUGGAAGCGUGGCGACACGUGCAGCUGACGGAUACUAAUCGAUCGAGGACUUAACCAAU
rnacentral:rRNA from 1 species